CCUACGGGAGGCAGCAGUAAGGAAUAUUGGUCAAUGGACGAAAGUCUGAACCAGCCAUGCCGCGUGAAGGAUUAAGGCCCUCUGGGUUGUAAACUUCUUUUAUCUGGGACGAAAAAAGGGUAUUCUUACUCACUUGACGGUACCAGAGGAAUAAGCACCGGCUAACUCCGUGCCAGCAGCCGCGGUAAUACGGAGGGUGCAAGCGUUAUCCGGAUUUACUGGGUUUAAAGGGUGCGUAGGUGGGUCUGUAAGUCAGUGGUGAAAUCUCCGAGCUUAACUCGGAAACUGCCAUUGAUACUAUAGGUCUUGAAUUAUCUGGAGGUAAGCGGAAUAUGUCAUGUAGCGGUGAAAUGCUUAGAUAUGACAUAGAACACCAAUUGCGAAGGCAGCUUACUACGGAUAUAUUGACACUGAGGCACGAAAGCGUGGGGAUCAAACAGGAUUAGAUACCCUGGUAGUCCACGCCCUAAACGAUGGAUACUCGACAUCAGCGAUACACUGUUGGUGUCUGAGCGAAAGCAUUAAGUAUCCCACCUGGGAAGUACGAUCGCAAGAUUGAAACUUAAAGGAAUUGACGGCUGAGAGAGCGAGACGACGACGAGGGAGGAGG
rnacentral:rRNA from 1 species